GUUUCUACGGGACGCAGCAGUGGGGAAUAUUGCACAAUGGGGGAAACCCUGAUGCAGCAACGCCGCGUGAGUGAAGAAGUCAUUCGUGAUGUAAAGCUCUAUCAGCAGGGAAGAAAAUGACGGUACCUGAGUAAGAAGCCCCGGCUAACUACGUGCCAGCAGCCGCGGUAAUACGUAUGGUGCAAGCGUUAUCCGGAUUUACUGGGUGUAAAGGGAGCGCAGGCGGAACGGCAAGCCUGAUGUGAAAGCCCGCGGCCCAACCGCGGGACUGCAUUGGGAACUACCGGGCUGGAGUGCCGGAGAGG
rnacentral:rRNA from 1 species